AGUGAACGCUGGCGGUAGGCCUAACACAUGCAAGUCGAACGGCAGCACAGUAAGAGCUUGCUCUUACGGGUGGCGAGUGGCGGACGGGUGAGGAAUACAUCGGAAUCUACUUUUUCGUGGGGGAUAACGUAGGGAAACUUACGCUAAUACCGCAUACGACCUACGGGUGAAAGCAGGGGAUCUUCGGACCUUGCGCGAUUGAAUGAGCCGAUGUCGGAUUAGCUAGUUGGCGGGGUAAAGGCCCACCAAGGCGACGAGCCGUAGCUGGUCUGAGAGGAUGAUCAGCCACACUGGAACUGAGACACGGUCCAGACUCCUACGGGAGGCAGCAGUGGGGAAUAUUGGACAAUGGGGGCAAGCCUGAUCCAGCCAUACCGCGUGGGUGAAGAAGGCCUUCGGGUUGUAAAGCCCUUUUGUUGGGAAAGAAAAGCAGCAGGUUAAUACCCCGCUGUUCUGACGGUACCCAAAGAAUAAGCACCGGCUAACUUCGUG
rnacentral:rRNA from 1 species